GAAGCAUCUAUCUUCUCUUCUGGAGGAUCCCAACUGUAAACUGGAGAAACUAUACCUGUCAGACUGCAGUAUUACCGAAGAGUGCUUCAGUUAUCUUGCAUCAGCACUGAGAUCAAACCCCUCACACAUGAGAGAUCUGGGACUGAGUGGGAGUAAAGCAGGAGACUCAGGAGUGAAGCAUCUUUCUUCUCUUCUGGAGGAUCCCAACUGUAAACUGGAAAAACUAGACCUACAGUACUGUAGUAUUACAAAUGAAGGCUUCAGAUCUUUAGCAUCAGCAGUGAGAUCAAACCCAUCAGCCCUCAGAGAGCUUCAGCUGAGUUUGAAUGAGCCUGGACCCUCAACACUGCAGCUGUUCUCUGAACUUCAGAAAGAUCCAAACUGUAAACAUAUCAACAUAUCUGGACUGUCAUGAAUCCAUUCACAUUUUAUUCCACAUUAAAUAUUCCUCUCUAUUGUGUAUAAAACAAAUAAUGACAUCUGAUGUCAAAAUGAUUUCUCUUUAGUUACUGGAAUGAUUAGUGACAUGUUGAAGUCACUGCAUAUAUGAUAUAUAGUAGUUGUCCAACAGCUCCUUUCCACUGUACCUGUCUUUGUUUAGGAAGAAAUGAUGUUACUCCUAUCUCUGUACUCCACUGGACUGUAAAUAUAUUUCUCUCUCCCUUGUAUACUACUUGCGUCACCUUACUAUUUGAAGCAAUAUGUAUGUUUUUUUUAAGUAACAAAGAACAAUUGUGCCAGUAGUGUAUACAGAAUG